rnacentral:lncRNA from 1 species
CCCUACCAGUGGUUAGAAGGCCGUCACUAAUUGCUAGAAUUCCGGCACAUAUCUUUAGUUCGGUAUCAUUCUUGGAGCAUAUGCCAACUAGAGGAGGUGAUAGUGGUGGUGUAAUAGCUGGUGGAGGAGGUGGUGUUGUUUGUGGCGGAGGCGGUUUUAAAGUUUGUGGAGGAAGUGGUGGUGGUGAGAUUGUUGGUGAUGGACCGGGACAGCUAAAGCCUUGUGGAAUCCUACGACCACAAACUUUAAAGAAGAUGCCGAAAUUGGGAGAGAGGGAAAAACGUGGUGCUCCUACCGAUUUACAAAAACAAGUAACUGCAUCAAGAUCAGACACAUUUCGGAUGAUGGAACAACAUGGUUCUGCUCUUCCAGUGGUUAGAAGACCGUCACUAAUUGCUAGAAUUCCGGCACAUAUCUUUAGUUCGGUAUCAUUCUUGGAACAUAUUCCAACCAGAGGAGGUGAUAGUGGUGGUGUGAUUGCUGGUGGAGGAGGUGGCGUGGUUUGUGGAGGAGACAACGGUGGCGGUAAGGGUUUUGGAGGAAGUGCCGGUGGUGUGGUCGCUAGUGGAGGUGGUGGUGUAAUAGCUGGUGGAGGAGGUGAUAGUGGAGGUGUAAUAGCUGGUGGAGGUGGUGGUGUAAUAGCUGGUGGAGGAGGUGGUGUGGUUUGCGGAGGAGACAACGGUGGCGGUAAGGGUUUUGGAGGAAGUGCUGGUGGUGUGGUCGCUACUGGAGGUGGUGAUGUGCUCUGUGGUGGAGGCGGUGGUUGGUCAUUGGCUGGCGGUGCUGGUUGAAAUGUUGGUGGAGUUGGCGGUUGGGGAUCGGGUUGCGGCGGAGGUGGUCCCGGAUUACAAAUACAAAUACAAGGUGGUGGUGGAGGGCAGUAAACGGAAUGGUUAUCUGCUCUAACGAUGGUGAGUAAUGGAAUGAUGCUGAAUGAGAGGAAAAGGAUUAUAGUAGUUGAGGCCAUUCUUGAUUGCAUAUUUUUUUGUUUGGUUUUGCAUUUGCGAAAUUUGGACUAUUUAUGAACGAUGGAUUUGAGGAUGAAGUUAGAGUUAUCAAGUUGGUAGCUUCAUAGUAGGAGAACGUGUUGACAAAAAUGUUUGCGUAAAUCUUGCGUUUAGA